UACGGGGGGAGCAAGCGUUGUUCGGAUUUACUGGGCGUAAAGGGCGCGUAGGCGGCCACUGCAAGUCGGUUGUGAAAUCUCCGGGCUUAACCCGGAAAGGUCAACCGAUACUGCAGGGCUAGAGUGCAGAAGGGGCAACUGGAAUUCUCGGUGUAGCGGUGAAAUGCGUAGAUAUCGAGAGGAACACCUGCGGCGAAGGCGGGUUGCUGGGCUGACACUGACGCUGAAGCGCGAAAGCUAGGGGAGCAAACAGG
rnacentral:rRNA from 1 species